UGCAUGAUUUAUCUAAAUGUGUUGUCGC
rnacentral:piRNA from 1 species